CAGCAUCACUGCUACCAUAUCUCUCUGCAGGGCUUCUGAAAAGAAUUAAAAAUAGCUUCCUGCUUUACCAGGAAACUUCCUGUUAUUUAUAUAGUCCUCUCUGUCCCCUAAGGCAGCAAUUGAUGGAACAAAUCUUUCCAACUUACCAAGAGCCCUGGUGCCUGUCAUCAAUAGUCAAGGAGAGCGCUGGGGGGCUCUUUUGUUUGAUCCUGAUUCUACAGUGGAAAAUCCUACUGGCUUCAGUGUUUUGGCCUUUAAAAAUUAUUGAAUUUCCCCCUAG